UACGUAGGGGGCAAGCGUUGUCCGGAAUCAUUGGGCGUAAAGCGCGUGUAGGCGGUUCGAUAAGUCUGCUGUGAAAGUCCAGGGCUCAACCCUGGAAUGCCGGUGGAAACUGUCGAGCUAGAGUCCGGAAGAGGCGAGUGGAAUUCCUGGUGUAGCGGUGAAAUGCGCAGAUAUCAGGAGGAACACCAAUGGCGAAGGCAGCUAGCUGGGACGGUACUGACGCUGAGACGCGAAAGCGUGGGGAGCAAACAGG
rnacentral:rRNA from 1 species